GUGGGGAAUCUUGCGCAAUGGGCGAAAGCCUGACGCAGCCAUGCCGCGUGAAUGAUGAAGGUCUUAGGAUUGUAAAAUUCUUUCACCGGGGACGAUAAUGACGGUACCCGGAGAAGAAGCCCCGGCUAACUUCGUGCCAGCAGCCGCGGUAAUACGAAGGGGGCUAGCGUUGCUCGGAAUUACUGGGCGUAAAGGGCGCGUAGGCGGACAGUUUAGUCAGAGGUGAAAGCCCAGGGCUCAACCUUGGAAUUGCCUUUGAUACUGACUGUCUUGAGUACGGGAGAGGUGAGUGGAACUCCGAGUAUAGAGGUGAAAUUCGUAGAUAUUCGGAAGAACACCAGUGGCGAAGGCGACUCACUGGCCCGUUACUGACGCUGAGGCGCGAAAGCGUGGGGAGCAAACAGGAUUAGAAACCCGUGUAGUCC
rnacentral:rRNA from 1 species